AUUGAACGCUGGCGGCAGGCCUAACACAUGCAAGUCGAACGAGUGGCGGACGGGUGAGUAAUGUCUGGGAAACUGCCCGAUGGAGGGGGAUAACUACUGGAAACGGUAGCUAAUACCGCAUACCAUCGGAUGUGCCCAGAUGGGAUUAGCUUGUGGGUGGGGUAACGGCUCACCUGGGCGACGAACCCUAGCUGGUCUGAGAGGAUGACCAGCCAAACGGGAAAUGGGACACGGCCCAGACUCCUACGGGAGGCAGCAGUGGGGAAUAUGGCAAAAUGGGCGGAAGCCUGAUGCAGCCAGGCCGCGUGUAUGAAGAAGGCCUUCGGGUUGUAAAGUACUUUCAGCGGGGAGGCGUUACCCGCAGAAAAAGCACCGGCUAACUCCGUGCCAGCAGCCGCGGUAAUUC
rnacentral:rRNA from 1 species